GAUGAAGAGCGUAGCGAAAUGCGAUAAGUAGUGUGAAUUGCAGAAUUCAGUGAAUCAUCGAAUCUUUGAACGCACAUUGCGCCCCUUGGUAUCCCGAGGGGCAUGCCUGUUCGAGCGUCAUUUCACCACUCAAGCCUGGCUUGGUGUUGGGCGACGUCCUCUUUGGGGACGCGCCUCGAAACGCUCGGCGGCGUGGCACCGGCUUUAAGCGUAGCAGAAUCUUUCGCUUUGGAAGUCGGGGCCCCGUCUGCCGGAAGACCUGCUCGCAAGGUUGACCUCGGAUCAGGCAGGGAUACCCGCUGAACUUAAGCAUAUCAAUAAGCGGAGGA
rnacentral:misc_RNA from 1 species